GCGCCCGUAGCUCAACGGAUAGAGCAUCUGACUACGGAUCAGAAAGUUGGGGGUUCGAAUCCCUCCGGGCGCACAA
rnacentral:tRNA from 1 species